rnacentral:rRNA from 1 species
CCCAAACUCGGAUGAAACAAGCCAUGCGAGUCAUUGUAGUAAUACAAGGCAGACGGCUCAGUAACGCGUAGUCCUUCUAACCUAUGGACGGGAAUAACCUCGGGAAACUGAGAAUCAAUGCCCGAUAGAACACUAUGCCUGGAAUGGUUUGUGUUCCAAAUGAUUUAUCGCCGUAGGUUGGGACUGCGGCCUAUCAGUUUGUUGGUGAGGUAAUGGCCCACCAAGACUAUUACAGGUACGGGCUCUGAGAGGAGUGGCCCGGAGAUGGGUACUGAGACACGGACCCAGGCCCUAUGGGGCGCAGCAGGCGAGAAAACUUUGCAAUGUGCGAAAGCACGACAAGGUUAAUCCGAGUGGUUUCUGCUAAAGGAACCUUUUGUCGGUCCUAGAAACACCGAUGAAUAAGGGGUGGGCAAGUUCUGGUGUCAGCCGCCGCGGUAAAACCAGCACCUCAAGUGGUCAGGAUGAUUAUUGGGCCUAAAGCAUCCGUAGCCUGCUUUGUUAGUUUUCGGUUAAAUCUGUACGCUCAACGUACAGGCUGCCGGGAAUACUGCAAAGCUAGGGAGUGGGAGAGGUAGACGGUACUCGGUAGGAAGGGGUAAAAUCCUUUGAUCUAUUGAUGACCACCUGUGGCGAAGGCGGUCUACCAGAACACGUCCGACGGUGAGGGAUGAAAGCUGGGGGAGCAAACCGGAUUAGAUUACCCGGGGUAUCCCAGCUGGUAAACCAUGCAAACUCAUUGAUGCCUUGGCUUGUGGCCAAUGCAGUGCUUGCAGGGAAACCGUUAAGUUUGCCCCCUGGGAAAUAGUACGCCAGUAUUGAACUCAAAGGAAUUGACG